rnacentral:tRNA from 1 species
CUCGACGUAGCCAAGAGGUUCAAGGCGACGGAUUGCAAAUCCGUUGGCGCAAGCCGUCCCCGGUUCGAAUCCGGGCGUCGAGU